GACGAACGCUGGCGGCGUGCUUAACACAUGCAAGUCGAACGGAGUGGCGAACGGGUGAGUAACACGUGGGUGAUAUGCCUUGCACUUCGGGAUAAGCUUGGGAAACUGGGUCUAAUACCGGAUAGUGCAAGAUGAGCUCGCGGCCUAUCAGCUUGUUGGUGGGGUAAUGGCCUACCACGGCGUCGACGGGUAGCCGGCCUGGGAGGGUGGACGGCGUCAUGGGGACUGAGAUAGGGAGCAGUCUGCGACAGUAGGCAGCGGGGGGGAGUAUUGCACAAGGGGGGGGAGCCUGAGGCGGCGACGCCGGGUGGGUGAUGAAGGUCUUCGGGUUGUAAACUCGUUUCGGCAGGGACGCGGUACCUGUAUAAGAAGCACCGGCUAACUACGUGCCAGCAGCCGCGGUAAUAC
rnacentral:rRNA from 1 species